CUUUUUAAUCAUACCAGCACUAAUGCACCAGAUCCCAUCAGAACUCCGCAGAUAAGCGUACAUGGGCGAGAGUAGUAUUAGGAUGAGCGACCUCGUUGGAAGUCCUCAUGUUGCACAUU
rnacentral:rRNA from 1 species